AAAAGAAAUCGACAAACUUCUCCUCACAGCUCUUAUCUCAAUUAUAAUAUAACUUCUCUGCAUAUAGAUUGUCCAAAAAACUCUCAUCUAUAUGUCCCGAUCAUUUCUCAGGAAAAACUCCCUCUGCCAAAAUUCCCAUCCAAAUGCGGGGUACAAAGCAAAAUCCUCUCUACCAGAAGGCACACCUUCCUACCAAAAAAAGUCCAACAACGUUG
rnacentral:lncRNA from 1 species